CGUGGCUGACUAACUGCAGUCGAACGGCAGCACGGGUGCUUGCACCUGGUGGCGAGUGGCGAACGGGUGAGUAAUACAUCGGAACAUGUCCUGUAGUGGGGGAUAGCCCGGCGAAAGCCGGAUUAAUACCGCAUACGAUCUACGGAUGAAAGCGGGGGACCUUCGGGCCUCGCGCUAUAGUGGUUGGCCGAUGGCUGAUUAGCUAGUUGGUGGGGUAAAGGCCCACCAAGGCGACGAUCAGUAGCUGGUCUGAGAGGACGACCAGCCACACUGGGACUGAGACACGGCCCAGACUCCUACGGGAGGCAGCAGUGGGGAAUUUUGGACAAUGGGCGAAAGCCUGAUCCAGCAAUGCCGCGUGUGUGAAGAAGGCCUUCGGGUUGUAAAGCACUUUUGUCCGGAAAGAAAUCCUGAGGGCUAAUAUCCUUCGGGGAUGACGGUACCGGAAGAAUAAGCACCGGCUAACUACGUGCCAGCAGCCGCGGUAAUACGUAGGGUGCGAGCGUUAAUCGGAAUUACUGGGCGUAAAGCGUGCGCAGGCGGUUUGUUAAGACCGAUGUGAAAUCCCCGGGCUCAACCUGGGAACUGCAUUGGUGACUGGCAAGCUAGAGUAUGGCAGAGGGGGGUAGAAUUCCACGUGUAGCAGUGAAAUGCGUAAGAUGUGGAGGAAAUACCCGAUGGGCGAAGGCAGCCCCCUGGUGCCAAUACUGAACGGCUCAA
rnacentral:rRNA from 1 species